GACGGGGGGUCCAAGCGUUGUUCGGAAUCAUUGGGCGUAAAGCGGGCGUAAGUGGUCUUGCAAGUCAGGAGUGAAAGCCCUGGGCUCAACCCAGGAAGUGCUUUUGAAACUGCAAGACUUGAAUGUGGGAGAGGAUAGUAGAAUUCCUGGUGUAGUGGUGAAAUACGUAGAUAUCAGGAGGAAUACCGGCGGCGAAGGCGGCUAUCUGGCCCAACAUUGACACUGAGGCCCAAAAGCGUGGGGAUCAAACAGG
rnacentral:rRNA from 1 species